ensembl:lincRNA
UUUGAGAGUCUGCAAAUGAAGACUUUGCAGAUAUUCCUGCCAUUAGAUAAGUACAUUAGUUUUUCUGUUGCUGUAGGUUUCAUGCAGACAAUCCUCAUAUUUAACCUUUGUACAUUCAUUUUCCUGUUUUUCAGGGCAAUACCCUUAUCCCUUUAUCUGGGUAGCUGCUGCGGAAUUGUUCUCUCUGAUGGCAACAAUGGUCCUGAGCAUCCUCUAUUUCAGACACAAGAGAGACAAACUGUGCACUGAGAGCAGCUGAAGAACACAGAAACUGAAGUGUGCCAUGAUACUGUGAAUUGAAUUGAAAGGCCAAAGAAAGCAGCCGGAUCGGUCAGGUUAAUAAUAGAUCUGAGUGUUGCCACAGUGAUGCCACUGCACUGAUACACUGAAAGGCAGCUAUGGAGGGAAAGCAUCAAAGAAAUCAAAGAAGGACACCCUGCUUUAAAUCAGAGAACAAAAAAAAUGUGUUUUACCUUCUGAUAUUUAACUUUAAGUUCCUCUUGAUCAUACUUUAGCUAUGUGAGUGUAAUAGGGAUAUUACUUACCUCCUGCACUGAAGGGACCAUAUAAUAUUAAGGCCCCUAGCUACUGCACACAGAAUUUAUUACAGCUGUGAUAUAUAGUUUGCAUGCCUUCAGGAUAUUUACCAAGAUAGUAAUAUUUUUUAAUUUAUUCAAUCCACAUUCCAAACAUUUAAUAGAUCCAAAUAAAAAAUAUAAUUUCUGGGAAGUGAGUAUGUUUUUAUACCAUACACUGUUCUUCUUUUCAGUAAGGAUAAAACAUCUUAUUGUGACUUGUCUAGUUUAUAAUACAAAUUCAUUUUACAUUCAUGAAUGUUAUCUUUCUUAAUUACAAAAUUACAUAUUAAGAAAUGUUAUGACCGGAUAGAGAGAUGUAUACAAAGAUUUCAACACAAAAGCAAUACGUGGUAUUAUGUUUUAUUUCUCACAUUCUGUUCAUUUUAGAAAAAAAUAUUUACAGCCUCAUGGUCUAAUCAAUUAGAUUAAGCUUUACAUUGUUACUGUGUAAUGUAGCAAAUGCUGCCAUCAGACUGUCUGUUUGAAAUAUGU